GACAGAGGCCUCGAGCGUUAGGCGGAAUCACUGGGCUUAAAGCGUGUGUAGGCGGAUCGUUAAGUACCUUGUGAAAUCCCACGGCUCAACCGUGGAACGGCUGGGUAUACUGGCGGUCUUGGGCCAUUCAGGGGCGACUGGAACAAGCGGUGGAGCGGUGAAAUGCGUAGAUAUCGCUUGGAACGCCGAAGGUGAAAACAGGUCGCUGGGGAUGUGCCGACGCUGAGACACGAAAGCCAGAGGAGCAAACGGG
rnacentral:rRNA from 1 species